rnacentral:rRNA from 1 species
UAGGGAAUCUUCCGCAAUGGACGAAAGUCUGACGGAGCAACGCCGCGUGAGUGAAGAAGGAUUUCGGUUCGUAAAACUCUGUUGUUAGGGAAGAAAAAAUGUAUAGUAACUAUAUACAAAAGAGACGGUACCUAACCAGAAAGCCACGGCUAACUACGUGCCAGCAGCCGCGGUAAUACGUAGGUGGCAAGCGUUGUCCGGAAUUAUUGGGCGUAAAGCGCGCGCAGGUGGUUUAGAAAGUCUGAUGUGAAAGCCCACGGCUCAACCGUGGAGGGUCAUUGGAAACUAAUAAACUUGAGUGCAGGAGAGAAAAGUGGAAUUCCUAGUGUAGCGGUGAAAUGCGUAGAGAAUAGGAGGAACACCUGUGGCGAAAGCGGCUUUUUGGCCUGCAACUAACACUGAGGCGCGAAAGCGUGGGGAGCAAACAGG